rnacentral:rRNA from 1 species
GACGAACGCUGGCGGCGUGCUUAACACAUGCAAGUCGAACGGAAAGGCCCUGCUUUUGUGGGGUGCUCGAGUGGCGAACGGGUGAGUAACACGUGAGUAACCUGCCCUUCACUUUGGGAUAACUUAAGGAAACUGGGGCUAAUACCGGAUAGGAGCUCCUGCUGCAUGGUGGGGGUUGGAAAGUUUCGGCGGUUGGGGAUGGACUCGCGGCUUAUCGGCUUGUUGGUGGGGUAGUGGCUUACCAAGGCUUUGACGGGUAGCCGGCCUGGGAGGGUGACCGGCCACAUUGGGACUGAGGUACGGCCCAGACUCCUACGGGAGGCAGCAGUGGGGAAUAUUGCACAAUGGGCGGAAGCCUGAUGCAGCAACGCCGCGUGCGGGAUGACGGCCUUCGGGUUGUAAACCGCUUUCGCCUGUGACGAAGCGUGAGUGACGGUAAUGGGUAAAGAAGCACCGGCUAACUACGUG